CACGUAGGCGGCUUCUUAAGUCAGGGGUGAAAUCCUGGAGCUCAACUCCAGAACUGCCUUUGAUACUGAGAGGCUUGAGUCCGGGAGAGGUGAGUGGAACUGCGAGUGUAGAGGUGAAAUUCGUAGAUAUUCGCAAGAACACCAGUGGCGAAGGCGGCUCACUGGCCCGGUACUGACGCUGAGGUGCGAAAGCGUGGGGAGCAAACA
rnacentral:rRNA from 1 species